rnacentral:rRNA from 1 species
CGCAAUGGGCGAAAGCCUGAUGGAGCGACGCCGCGUGCAGGAUGAAGGCCCUCGGGUUGUAAACUGCUUUUAUAAGUGAAGAAUAUGACGGUAACUUAUGAAUAAGCACCGGCUAACUACGUGCCAGCAGCCGCGGUCAUACGUAGGGUGCAAGCAUUAUCCGGAGUGACUGGGCGUAAAGAGUUGCGUAGGUGGUUUGUUAAGUGAAUAGUGAAAUCUGGCGGCUCAACCGUACAGGCUAUUAUUCAAACUGGCAGACUCGAGAAUGGUAGAGGUAACUGGAAUUUCUUGUGUAGGAGUGAAAUCCGUAGAUAUAAGAAGGAACACCAAUGGCGUAGGCAGGUUACUGGACCAUUUCUUUCUUUUAGGCACGAAAGCGU